AAUUUAUUUUUAAAAAAAAAUAAUAUUUUCACAUCGACCUCUUAUCGAGUAGUUUGUUUAUUUACAUUUGUAGAGGUGGAGCACAAAAUGGGGGAUAUUGAAGAUGAACAAGUAGAUUUUGACUUUGAAGUAAAUGAUGACGGAAAAAUUAUCAAUUUCACAAUUAUGGACAGGAUAAAAAAUAUAAAUAAAGUUAUACAAAUCAAUAAAGAUGUAUCUACUAUUAUUAAGCUAAAAGAAAUUCAACAAGAACUAGCAUUUCUAGGUCCAUUUGAUGAAAAUACUGUAUUUAAAAAACUUACUUUUAAAAAAAAACUUACAAAAGAAAUUCUUAAAAAAAACAACUAUGUUGUUUACAUCACCAGUUUCUAUGAUUAUAUUAACGUAAUUUUCUAUUUCUGGAAUGGUAAGAAAAUGUUAGCUAAAAUCAAAGAACCAAUUUAUAUAAUAUCCGGGUGUUAUAUUUCUAUAAUUGAUAAAUUUAACUUCUAUAUUAAAACUGAGCUUAGAAUUAAUGAUCGCGAUAUUGAGUCUGCUAUUAAGGAAGGCACACUUAACGUAUCUGAUAUUGUUCAGACUUGGUCAGACUUGGUCAGAUAUAGUACAUUAGAUGAGAAGGUAUCGAAGGAACUAGAAUUCAGUCUUGCUCUCUGGAACAACAUCUUGGGAAAUCAAGAACAACUACUUUGUAUAACUAACCAUGAUGACAUAACUGCUUUAAAUGCGGUUUCAUUAUCAGAGGUAUUCAGAAAUCCAAUUAUGAUAGUUAUAAACCUAAUUGCAAUAAAAAUGUAUAUCUUACAUAUUUGGGACGACUUCCACAAGUACCUGCCACCUCUAGCUGGGGGAACAUGGGAAAAUCAACAGGAGUACUGUCCAAAAUUUAGAAAACGAAUGAUUUCUUUUUUGAAAAAACAUUUUCCGGAAGAUUUUCCGAAAUCAUAGAUUUUAUUUGAUUAGUUUAAUUUAUUGAAAAAGUUUUUAUUCAUGGAAGGGAUUGUGGAGGGUCCAAAAAAAAUAAAAAAAUAAAACAUCUAAAAAUGUCAUACAAAAUCUACAAAUUCAUCUUCAUUAUCCCCCAUGUUGCUCCACCUCUGCUUCUGGGAGGAGCCAAGUGGGGCCACAGAGCGGACUCCUCCAUCUCAUACCGCCAACUCUGUAAAUCCACCAGGCCCCACAAUGCAUCCUCCACACCAAUGCAGUAACAGCCAUAUCUUCAGGUCAGAAAGCUUCAGUACAAAAAUACUCCUCCAUCUCAUCCCACCAACUCUGUAAAUCCACCAGGCCCCACAAUGCAUCCUCCACACCACUGCAGUAACAGCCAUAUCUUCAGGUCACAAAGCUUCAGUACUAUCUGAAUGUGUUGAAUUACCAUCCAGCAUCCUGUGGCAACGUCAAUGUGAAACCGCAUUGGCCCGUGAUCACCACCAACCCGUGAUCACCACCAACCCGGCUCCAGAGCGGUAGCCAUGGACACCCACUCUUUGCUCAAGAUCAACGAAAGGAGAUUUGGAAGGAUCCCAGGAUGGCCUCCCGAGAGAGCACACCUGGCAGCAGAGAGCACUUUGAUGUGAUUGGCUGUUCAGCAGGAAGUUUCAUCUGGCUACACAGAAGAGAUGAUGGAUCUGACCGAUAAUGUUUUUUAUGGGAUGAUGUAUGAUUCUAAAUAAAAAAGUGUGAAAUGUA